rnacentral:rRNA from 1 species
UACGUAGGUGGCGAGCGUUGUCCGGAAUCACUGGGCGUAAAGGGCGCGUAGGCGGUUGCUCAAGUCACAUGUGAAAUACCAGGGCUUAACCUUGGGGGUGCAUGUGAAACUGGGCGACUUGAGUGCAGUAGAGGUAAGCGGAAUUCCUGGUGUAGCGGUAAAAUGCGUAGAGAUCAGGAGGAACACCGGUGGCGAAGGCGGCUUACUGGGCUGUAACUGACGCUGAGGCGCGAAAGCGUGGGGAGCAAACAGG